CAUUUGGUUGUGUGUUUCCAAUUAGUCAACCACAGCUUGCAACUUGGCAGAUAUGAGUAACAGAUGAAAAAACACUUUCUGUGUCAGCACUAAUGGAUAACUGAAAGCAAGUCGACAAAGAUUUGGAAAAUGAGGCAUACAUCUAAAAGAAAACCACAAUAUUAUGAGGCUGAAAUGGUACUGAAAUAUUACAAACACUUGGAGGAAGGCAGUGUCUCGCUCUGUUGCCCAGGCUGGAGUGCAGUGGCACAAUCACGGCUCACUGCUGCCUCAACCUUUGGUGCUCAAGUGAUUCUUCUAUUUCAGCUUUCCGAGCAGCUAAGACUACAGGAACUGAAGCUGCCCACCUUCCGAGCCCACUCCCCACUCCUGAAGAGCCGCCGGUUCUUCGUGGACAUCCUGACCCUGCUGAGCAGCCACUGCCAGCUCUGCCCUGCAGCCCGGCACCUGGCCGUUUACCUGCUGGACCACUUCAUGGAUCGCUACAACGUCACCACCUCCAAGCAGCUCUACACCGUGGCCGUCUCCUGCCUCCUGCUUGCAAGUCGGAACAAAGGAUCAGGGUCCCCAGUGCCCACACAUUCAGCGCAGCAGCCCCAUCAGACCUGGGCCAGAGGCAGCCCCUGGUAAGUUCGAGGAUCGGGAAGACCACGUCCCCAAGUUGGAGCAAAUAAACAGUACGAGGAUCCUGAGCAGCCAGAACUUCACCCUCACCAAGAAGGAGCUGCUGAGCACAGAGCUGCUGCUCCUGGAGGCCUUCAGCUGGAACCUCUGCCUGCCCACGCCUGCCCACUUCCUGGACUACUACCUCUUGGCCUCCGUCAGCCAGAAGGACCACCACUGCCACACGUGGCCCACCACCUGCCCCCGCAAGACCAAAGAGUGCCUCAAGGAGUAUGCCCAUUACUUCCUAGAGGUCACCCUGCAAGAUCACAUAUUCUACAAAUUCCAGCCUUCUGUGGUCGCUGCGGCCUGUGUUGGGGCCUCCAGGAUUUGCCUGCAGCUUUCUCCCUACUGGACCAGAGACCUGCAGAGGAUCUCAAGCUAUUCCCUGGAGCACCUCAGCACGUGUAUUGAAAUCCUGCUGGUCCCCCUUUUCAGAUGAAAAAUCCUAGGCCCCAGGGGUCAAUUUGGUUGAUAUCAGCUAGCUAAGGAGUGACCCCGUUGGGGAUGGAGCUGGCCCAGAAUUGCCUGGAAAGCAGAGCUUGGGCUCAUUCAGGCCCCAGGAACACUCCAGUGCCAGGGGAUGGGAAGGCAUUGGUGAGCACAAGCAGGCACCAUCCUCCUGGAAGCCAGAGUGUAUGACAAUGUCCUCAAGGAUGCCGUAGCCGUCAAGAGCCAGGCCUUGGCAAUGGUGCCUGGCACACCCCCCACCCCCACUCAAGUGCUGUUCCAGCCACCAGCCUACCCGUCCCUCGGCCAGCCAGCGACCACCCUGGCACAGUUCCAGACCCCCGUGCAGGACCUAUGCUUGGCCUAUCGGGACUCCUUGCAGGCCCACCGUUCAGGGAGCCUGCUCUCGGGGAGUACAGGCUCAUCCCUCCACACCCCGUACCCCCCGCUGCAGCCCCUGGAUAUGUGUCCCGUGCCCGUCCCUGCAUCCCUUAGCAUGCAUAUGGCCAUUGCAGCUGAGCCCAGGCACUGCCUCGCCACCACCUAUGGAAGCAGCUACUUCAGUGGGAGCCACAUGUUCCCCACCGGCUGCUUUGACAGAUAGGCCACCUCCGGACCUCACGAGGAAGCCUUGGAGAUGUGGGCAGAGGAAGAGGACACUGAAGAGGAGAGCUCAGCCAAGUGAGGCAGCAGGAGGCCAUCCCUGAAGAGCCUUGGAACGUGGAGGGUCUGUGCUCCUUUUAAAUAAAACUGACCCAGAGCAAAACAUUCAAUAACAUACCUCACCCGAGAGCAUUCCUCUGAGAAACGUCUGCCACGUGUGACUAGGGUACAAGAGGAUGGCUUGGUGGCCGUCCCCCCACGCAGGGGCCCAGUGAAUCGAGAAAGACUUGAUAAGAGGCCAGGAGAGUGGGAACUGGACACAGACCACUGAUCUCAAGCAUGUCCAGUUUUUAGCAUUAAAGACUUCUCUAUUCUUUGCUGAUGGCAGCUACACCACUGAAAAAGGAGGGGCAGCCUGGUGUGUUCUCAGGACCCCCGGAGGAUCCCAUAUUGGGUGCUUUUCUUUCCCUGGCUCUGUGCAGAGGGGCCUGAGUUGGUGUGUAUGCCUGAGUGUUUGCCUUGUGAGGCACAGUGGGUGGCUGUCUUGCCUUUGUUUUCGAACCUAAAACCAUUUUCAGCCUUUUAGAUAUGUCAUGUGCUGCUGCUUCCCGAAGUGGUCUCGCUUUCUGUUUCGUAAGAUGUCUUGUUUACACACUGUAUCAGGGAUUUGGUGAUACUUGAAAAUUCCUUUGGAGAAAAAAACAAAUUUAAUUGCCACACUGCCUGUCCCACAUGAGGGCUGUUAAGGUGGAACCCAAGUUUGAACCCAACUUGUGAUGGACCUGCAGGUAACCACAGAGCUUCCUUUUUGAAAGCAUAUGGUUGGAGAGAACCAUUUUCCCAGCUCUCGGUUCCGGAAGAUUCCACGUCUUGGAGGCUGUUUUCACCACUAGAACUUUAAUAACUACCCAGGGAGGGAGAAGCUCGUUGAAAGGAAGACAAAGAUUUAAACAAUUCCCACCUCUCUCCACCACAUACUUACAGGGCAUGAGUUUAACCCAGUCUAGGCUUUGAGUGUGGCUGAUAGCGAAGGAUAGCAAUGUGGAAAAUUUGCUUAGUCCCACCUGUAUUUGGGGAGUGGGAUGUACAUGGGCAUUUGAUACCACCAUUGAUAGGCAAGCGACUGGUUGGAUCAAAAGCCAGUAUUUAGGGAUCUGCAGCGAGAGGGCCCUCAGGAAGACUCUUGUAACCAUGUGCAAUAUGUUUUUUUUCUGACUCGCAGCUCGUGCUCAGCAUGUUCUUUGGUUUAGUUUGGGGUUGGGGGACACAUUGUUCACCCAUCAGAACUGGGAGGUGCAAAGGACCGUGGAAGCAAUUUUUGUUUUGUUUGAGGAAUACCUGUCUUGGAUUCCUUAGCCCCUUGCCAGUCCUGGAGACUGUGGCAGGGGCCGCCAGGAAGGCAGCUGUCUGCUGCUGAGUCAGAUCCGAAGGUGGUGAAUUUCCAGAGCAGCUGAAAAUCUCAGCGUGGAGACAGUAAGAAAAGAGACGGGGUGUGGAUAAGACUCUGCCACCGUGUCACACUAGCAUAGGAGGCUGCACGUUCAUUUGUUGUUGUUUUUUUUUUUUCCUUUGCCAACCUCUGUUCUAUUUAUGUGCAAGCAGUUUGGAUUCAAGUUUUUGUAUCUGUCUGUUCUGGGACCUGGGGAUUGUGAGGGUUCCCUCACAGCCAGCACGACCCCCAGAAAGAGGCGUCCCACAAUAAACACGUCACCUGCUCUUGGUCUCUC
rnacentral:sRNA from 1 species